rnacentral:rRNA from 1 species
GACGAACCUUGCUAAUGUUAUUCGGAAUUACUGGGCUUAAAGGGUGCGUAGGCGGUGCGGAAAGUUGGGUGUGAAAGCCCUCGGCUCAACCGAGGAAUUGCGCCCAAAACUGCCGCACUAGAGGAAGACAGAGGUACGCGGAACUUAGGGUGGAGCGGUGAAAUGCGUUGAUAUCCUAAGGAACACCGGUGGCGAAAGCGGCGUACUGGGUCUUAUCUGACGCUGAGGCACGAAAGCUAGGGGAGCGAACGGG